rnacentral:rRNA from 1 species
UACACUCCUGCGGGAGGCAGCAGUGGGGAAUAUUGCACAAUGGGCGCAAGCCUGAUGCAGCCAUGCCGCGUGUAUGAAGAAGGCCUUCGGGUUGUAAAGUACUUUCAGCGGGGAGGAAGGCGAUAAGGUUAAUAACCUUGUUGAUUGACGUUACCCGCAGAAGAAGCACCGGCUAACUCCGUGCCAGCAGCCGCGGUAAUACGGAGGGUGCAAGCGUUAAUCGGAAUUACUGGGCGUAAAGCGCACGCAGGCGGUCUGUCAAGUCGGAUGUGAAAUCCCCGGGCUCAACCUGGGAACUGCAUUCGAAACUGGCAGGCUAGAGUCUUGUAGAGGGGGGUAGAAUUCCAGGUGUAGCGGUGAAAUGCGUAGAGAUCUGGAGGAAUACCGGUGGCGAAGGCGGCCCCCUGGACAAAGACUGACGCUCAGGUGCGAAAGCGUGGGGAGCAAACAGGAUUAGAAACCCGGGUAGUCCCAUGA